UACGUAGGGUGCAAGCGUUGUCCGGAAUUAUUGGGCGUAAAGAGCUCGUAGGCGGUCUGUCACGUCUGCUGUGAAAACUCGGGGCUUAACCCCGGGCCUGCAGUGGGUACGGGCAGACUAGAGUGCGGUAGGGGAGACUGGAAUUCCUGGUGUAGCGGUGAAAUGCGCAGAUAUCAGGAGGAACACCGGUGGCGAAGGCGGGUCUCUGGGCCAUAACUGACGCUGAGGAGCGAAAGCGUGGGGAGCGAACAGG
rnacentral:rRNA from 1 species